AAUUAAGCGGUACCAGUGAGCGGUAUUAUGCAGUCCAGAAGGAAAAUGGAUAAAUAUUCCUGUUUGUAUUGCGAAAGUUUAAUUAUUUUAUAUAUACGUUCCUUAUUCCUGGUUUCCUAAAUGAAACCUAAUUUGCUGAUUGUAAAUAUAACGACGACUGCACUUCUUAAUAUAAAA
rnacentral:lncRNA from 1 species